ensembl:snoRNA
GCAUAGGUUUGGAUUCGUGGCAGGUCCGAUCCCAUGGGCCUUUCACAGUGUCCCAUGCUAAAGCAAAUGGUCACCCCAAACCAUUGCCUGGCUUUAUCCAGUGGGCUUAAGACACUGAAGCGUGUUGCACAGUG